rnacentral:lncRNA from 1 species
GGAAGAUUCAAGUCUAGACUCACUUAGGGCCUCUCUGGAAGCAACACUCGCCCUGUUCCAGAAGAACAAAAUCACAGCGUGACGUUGAAACCUGGCAGGAACCUGGGGUAACUUAGCCAUCUGCCUAUGAAACCGUAGAACUUCAGCAUUACCACUUUCCCUGGCUGGGGUCCUCGAGAUGCCUCCGUAGGUAUCCAGGUAUCUCCACUCCCGGAGCUGAAGGACAGGUUGUGCCAACCUGGAACAAGACUGAUUCUUAUUGAUUCUUACCGAAGGACUCUAUUGAACAGGCGAUGUAAAUACACAGGAAGAAGGGAGAGUUACAAACACAAGUCACACACUUGGAGAAAUAAAG